AAAGGGAAAACUGAAAAUCCGACAUUCCAUAGUGAGCGUGAGCAGUAACAACCGCUGUAGUUAUUGUAGCAGUUUGCAAGUUGAACUUCCCAUUGAGCUGUUGAGUGUUGAAAGCGCGAAUAUGGAAUCGUCAGUGCCUUGCGGACACUCAAACCCACUUCUCUCAUUCUCCAACUUCAUCCAUCAAAACUGCCACCGCCUCGGCGCCGAGCUCGCCACUCGUUUCAACAACACCAAUAAGCGCUUCGCCGGAACCCUAGAUCUUCCUCCUACGCCUCCUUUUCUUUCCCUAUUGGCGUCAAUCACUCAACCCAAACACGCCCUCGCCGCUGCCGCUACUCUCAGCUCCCAGCAGGUGGCCAAGUCCCUCGCCGGCACCAAACUCUUCACCGUCAGCAAUUCCAACAAUGAGUUCGUUCUCAUCUCCGAUGCUGAAGGAGCUAAGUCUAUUGGAUUGCUCUGCUUUCGCCAAGAGGACGCUGAAGCCUUUCUUGCUCAGGUUCGAUCACGGAGAAGAGAACUUCGAGGCAAACCUAGGGUUGUUCCCAUAAAUCUGGACCAGGUAUAUAUGCUGAAGGUUGAAGGCAUUGCAUUCCGAUUUUUACCUGAUCCAAUUCAAAUAAAGAAUGCCAUAGAGCUCAAAGCAGGCAAAGGCAACAAGGGAAGUUUUGAUGGAGUCCCUGUUUUUCAGUCAGACCUUUUGGUUGUGAAGAAGAAGAAUAAGCGUUACUGCCCUGUAUAUUUCUCAAAGGAAGAUGUUGAGCAUGAACUAUCCAAGGUUUCUAGGGCAUCUAGAGGAGUUGGAGUUUCUCAGAAUAUAAUGGUUGGUAGCUUGGAAGAUGUACUGAAAAAAAUGGAGAUGAGCGAAAGGAAUUCAGGAUGGGAAGAUUUAAUUUUUAUUCCACCAGGAAAAAGCCACUCGCAACACAUACAAGAAAUUGAGGCUUGAUUUACAGGUUGCAAAGUUGAGCUAACCAAAGUUUUUAUGUGGUUUUUAUGAGCAAAUUAGAUGUUGUUACAUUCUAGUCAGAUGAUGCUUUUUUAUAGAUUCUCGGUGGAUACAAGUUACACGUGAAUUUGAAAGGACAAAGCCGCUAACAUCCAUUAAAGAGGUGGAUGGAAUACCAUUUAAGGGUGUUUAAGCAAUAAUGUUUAUAAGUUAAUAAAACGAGAGUUGUACAGUACGGUAUUAUUUUGGCAAUACUUACAAACAAUGUAUUCCUUGAAUUCUACUUUUAUGAGUUCAUGCAUAUUCUUUAAGAUGGCUAUUUUGUUGA